rnacentral:ncRNA from 1 species
UAGAGCGUGAGAUUUUCUUGAAAAGUGGUCUGGCAACAGGGCGAAAGCGAACACGAUGUUCGCGUCAGCCGAUCGUCGACAUGGAUGUCGACUGUAGGCGGGCCCGUCAUGAUGAGAAAACCCAAGCCACUUUUCUUUAGAAAAUCCACA